CAACUUGAGAGUUUGAUCCUGGCUCAGAACGAACGCUGGCGGCAGGCCUAACACAUGCAAGUCGAGCGCUCUCUUCGGAGGGAGCGGCGGACGGGUUAGUAACGCGUGGGAAUAUGCCCUUCUCUACGGAAUAGCCUCGGGAAACUGAGAGUAAUACCGUAUACGCCCUUCGGGGGAAAGAUUUAUCGGAGAAGGAUUAGCCCGCGUUGGAUUAGGUAGUUGGUGGGGUAAUGGCCUACCAAGCCGACGAUCCAUAGCUGGUUUGAGAGGAUGAUCAGCAACACUGGGACUGAGACACGGCCCAGACUCCUACGGGAGGCAGCAGUGGGGAAUCUUGGACAAUGGGCGCAAGCCUGAUCCAGCCAUUCCGCGUGGAUGAUGAAGGCCCUAGGGUUGUAAAAUCCUUUCGGCAGGGAAGAUAAUGACGGUACCUGCUAAAGAAGCCCCGGCUAACUCCGUGCCAGCAGCCGCGGUAAUACGGAGGGGGCUAGCGUUGUUCGGAAUUACUGGGCGUAAAGCGCGCGUAGGCGGAUCGAUCAGUCAGAGGUGAAAUCCCGGAGCUCAACUUCGGAACUGCCUUUGAUACUGUCGAUCUGGAGUCCGGGAGAGGUGCAUGGAAUUCCGAGUGUAGAGGUGAAAUUCGUAGAUAUUCGGAGGAACACC
rnacentral:rRNA from 1 species